AAAUACUCUCGCACUCAUUGCUAUUUUGGAUGUGAAGAAGGAGGUACAUUACAUCAUUUUCCUAAGCCAGACUGUUAUAAUGAAAGGUUUGAGAUCUGGAAACAAGUUUUAGACGAUGAUAUUAUAAUGAAAGGAGAUACAUACAUCUACAACCAAA